GAGGUACUCCCUCUGUUCGGAAUUACUUGUCUCGAAAAUGGAUGUAUUUAGAACUAAAAUACAUCUAGAUACAUCCAUUUCUACGACAAGUAAUUCCGAACGAAGGGAGUAGGUU
rnacentral:pre_miRNA from 1 species